AGGAUUAACGCUGGCGGCGUGCCUAACACAUGCAAGUCGAACGAGGUAGCAAUACCUAGUGGCAGACGGGUGAGUAACGCGUGGUCAACCUACCGUUGAGUGGGGGAUAACUAGCCGAAAGGUUAGCUAAUACCGCAUACGAGUUUCGGGGGCAUCCCUGAUUCUUAAAAGGAGCAAUCCGCUCGAUGACGGGACCGCGUCCCAUUAGCUAGAUGGUGGGGUAACGGCCUACCAUGGCACCGAUGGGUAGCUGGUUUGAGAGAGCGACCAGCCACACUGGGACUGAGAAACGGCCCAGACUCCUACGGGAGGCAGCAGUGAGGAAUUUUCCGCAAUGGGCGAAAGCCUGACGGAGCGACGCCGCGUGUGGGAAGAAGGCCUUCGGGUCGUAAACCACUGUCGAAGGGGACGAUAAUGACGGUACCCUUGGAGGAACGCCCCGGCUAACCUACGCGCCAGCAGCCGC
rnacentral:rRNA from 1 species